GUUGUAGCUCAGUGGUUGAGUGCUUGUCUCGCAUGCAUGAGACACUGGGUUCGAUCCUCAGCGUGACA
rnacentral:tRNA from 1 species